CCGCCGCGUGUGAUGCCACGAUGGAAAUGACUAACGCUCUAUCUUUUUGCAAAAACAUCCUCCUAAAAUUCCUGACAAACACUUGAGUCAAUCGUUCCCCACCAUCUUCAUGUUGUGUCCGCAGGACUCUCUCACUUGCCGCAGGACUCUCUCACUUGCCACCACGCCCUCGCUAGCGCCGCUCGCCGCUGUGCCGCGCCAACUUGCGGCUGCUCCCUCGCUGGACAUCACGUUGUCGCCCAAGCUGUCGCGCCGCACGACGACCACGCGGAGCUGAUUCGGAAAUUCAUGGAGACCGCGGCACAACGACCACACCGAGCUGAUUUACAAAUCCGUAUGAGUGUCUGCGUCCGCUGCCGGCCGCCCGGUAACCCAACGACGGCGUCCCCGUAUUGAUCUGUGUCCCCUCCUCCUACCGUCCCUUGAUCUGGCCUGAACUGAAGACAAGACCAACCUUGAACACCGGAUUCUCCAUGUCAAUUAUGGGAUCAAAUGUACUGAACUUCUUCUUCAGUACCUGCCUUUCUUCAUUUAGCAGAUGCAGAUCCUGAUCCUCAAGAGCAGCUUCAUCCUCCAUUUCAACAGCUACUUCUUUCUCAUUGUUAUCGUUUACAUCUUUGUCUAUGUCAUCGACAAAUAGAUCAUCAUCCCCUGACACCGCAUUGCAAUCACUAUCAUACAAUUCAUAGUCACUGUCACUACCAUCAUCCUCCUCCUCCCGACUGCAUCUUCUCUCUCUCAAAAUCCUCAAACUCAUGAUCUCCCUCCUCUGUCUGCCUUUGAUGUGAUACAACCACACCUGAACUUGAUGCUUCACCUUCUCUGGAUUUAGCAGGUUCAGCCAUUGGUGCCUCUGGACUGGUCAUAGACGGCAUGGUCAGGCUUUUGUUCCUAAUAAUAGCAUCAUAUCUCAAAUGCUUGAGGAAAUUGGAAUGAUCUAUGAACAGAACAACACACUUCUCUGUCUUGAUGACAUUGAGCAUAGAAGCACAAUCUUCAUCUGUCUCCAAAGGAACUAAACCAUCACAUAUUUCCUUCUCUGGUAAACACCAAUACGCAUGCAAUUUUCCGUCUGACAGCCAAUCAUGAACAAGAUUUCAUCCAACACAGUCAUUGACCAAUUUUCAGAUGAGCAUAAGUCAAUAUAAUCCACAGUUGAACUGACAUAAGAUAAAUUGGCACCUAAUCCACAAAAGAAGCCAUUGUGGUUUACUUCAGCAGUGAACAAAUUCGAAUUAUGACCUACAUUCAAAAGUGUUAACAUUAGUAAUAGUGUGCAAGACUGACAGCAACUUUAAUUGGUAAAUUAAAAUUAUACUAAGUGUAUUCAAUUUUCUUUCCAGAAAUAAUAAGUGCCAGAUUGUCCACUAGAUUUAUCACCACCAACUGAAAAGGUUAUCUAAAAGGUUCAUAUACAAUUCACUGUUAGCACACAGUCUCUACUUUAACUGAAACUGACAUUGUAUGUUCAUGUGCAGGGUAUCUUGUUCUGUUGUGAAUGAGCAGUAGCACUGCAUUUUAAUAGAUUUGACUGUUACUAAUGUCGAUGCCACGCUCAAGUGUAUUGCUGAACACAAUUAUACUAAUAGCAAGUUGGAUUCAUCCUGUGAGAAGAGGCCUCACCAGUUACAGUAAUAGAAAGUUGAGCUUUCUGCUGGAAGUUACCAUUCAGAGGAACCAAAUUUUGUUGAAUCAAAGCAACAUCUUGACUCUACAACUUUGAUAGUUUCAGGAUUACUAGUGUUACUGACCGGCAGCACUGUCUGAUCUCAGGCAAUGUCCCAGAUCGAUGAUGUUCACAAAGCAGCAAUCGACUACAACAAGUGGAUCACAUGGCGACUACCGAACCACACCAAAACCUCAUGAAAUCGAGCAGAUGUUCUGGCGGAGGGAUAUGGGUGACGUACCGUACUGUGGCGGGUCCUCAUUCCAGGCGCGGAAGUGCAGGUCCGGCGGCAUCUCGCCGGGAUCGUUACCGCUGGAAUCGUCGACACGGAUGGCACCUGAGCGUAUCCGUGGCCGCCGGCUUCGUCGAACAGAAACAGGAACUAAAUCUCAAUCAGCGAUACUCUCGCUCUCCUUUGGCAUGAAAAGGUAAGGACCUAGGACGAAAAAAAACAACCUGAUAGGCCGUCUUGUAAAAACAUUAUAUUGGGACAGAGUCCACCGUGGCACCAUUUCGGACUUUUUCACUAAUUUGAUUCCGAAUUACAACUUCUUGUACCAUGUUUUCCCCUUUUACAACUUAUUAGUGUACUAAA